rnacentral:rRNA from 1 species
GACGAACGCUGGCGGCGUGCUUAACACAUGCAAGUCGAGCGGUAAGGCCCUUUCGGGGGUACACGAGCGGCGAACGGGUGAGUAACACGUGGGUGACCUGCCCUCAGCUCUGGGAUAGGCCUGGGAAACCGGGUCUAAUACUGGAUAUGACUCCAUGACGCAUGUUGUGGGGUGGAAAGCCUUGUGCGGCUGAGGAUGGGCCCGCGGCCUAUCAGCUUGUUGGUGGGGGAUGGCCUACCAAGGCGACGACGGGUAGCCGGCCUGAGAGGGCGACCGGCCACACUGGGACUGAGACACGGCCCAGACUCCUACGGGAGGCAGCAGUGGGGAAUCUUGCGCAAUGGGCGAAAGCCUGACGCAGCGACGCCGCGUGAGGGAUGACGGCCU